UGGGGAAUAUUGCACAAUGGGCGCAAGCCUGAUGCAGCGACGCCGCGUGAGGGAUGACGGCCUUCGGGUUGUAAACCUCUUUCAGCAGGGACGAAGCGCAAGUGACGGUACCUGCAGAAGAAGCACCGGCCAACUACGUGCCAGCAGCCGCGGUAAUACGUAGGGUGCGAGCGUUGUCCGGAAUUACUGGGCGUAAAGAGCUCGUAGGCGGUUUGUCGCGUCGUCUGUGAAAUUCUGCAGCUUAACUGCAGGCGUGCAGGCGAUACGGGCAGACUUGAGUACUACAGGGGAGACUGGAAUUCCUGGUGUAGCGGUGAAUGCGCAGAUAUCAGGAGGAACACCGGUGGCGAAGGCGGGUCUCUGGGUAGUAACUGACGCUGAGGAGCGAAAGCGUGGGUAGCGAACAGGAUUAGAUACCCUGGUAGUCCACGCCGUAAACGGUGGGUAC
rnacentral:rRNA from 1 species